GGGGUUGUGACUCAGCGGUAAAGUGCUCACCUCCCAUGUGCGAGACCUUGGGUUUGAUCCUCAGCACCACA
rnacentral:tRNA from 1 species